rnacentral:rRNA from 1 species
CGCGUAGGUGGUCAUGUAAGUCCGCUGUGAAAGUCAAAGGCUCAACCUUUGAAAGCCGGUGGAUACUGCAUGACUAGAGUACGGAAGAGGCGAGUGGAAUUCCUGGUGUAGCGGUGGAAUGCGCAGAUAUCAGGAGGAACACCAAUAGCGAAGGCAGCUCGCUGGGACGUUACUGACACUGAGGCGCGAAGCGUGGGAGCGAACA